GAAUAAGAAGCGUCGGAGGGUACCAAGAAGGUUUAAUAGGGAAGCCGGUGAAAAUCCGGCACGGGGACGCCACCGUGACCGGGGACGAAACCCACAGAUACCACUGGCAUUGCUGGGAAGGUGUGGGAAGUAGGAUGAUCCGGAAGUCGGGAGACCUGCCCUUCGAUUAAGCUCGCC
rnacentral:ncRNA from 2 species